rnacentral:lncRNA from 1 species
ACAUGGACAACAGACCGCUGCUCUUCAUCCUGUGGGUGGCGCUGUCCUGCACGUUCACCACCUCCUCUGCCAAUACAUCAGCUGCACCCACUGCAACCACCAACAACGUGACAUCACCGAUGACACACACCGUGACAUCACCGAUGACACACACCGUGACAUCACCGAUGACACACAACGUGACAUCACCGAUGACACACACCGUGACAUCACCGAUGACACACAACGUGACAUCACCGAUGACACACACCGUGACAUCACCGAUGACACACAACGUGACAUCAGCGAUGACACACAACGUGACAUCAGCGAUGACACACACCGUGACAUCACCGAUGACACACAACGUGACAUCACAGACGACACACACCGUGACAUCCCCGACGACACACAACAUGACAUCACCGACGACACACAACAUGACAUCACCGAUGACACACAACAUGACAUCAGCUCCCCAACUGACUGUUAACACCACAGUGGAAACUCUUGAUACUCCUGUUUCUAAUACGGGAUGUGGGACCGAGCAGCUCUGCGCCUCCGAGCCGUCCAACUGCGACCCGUCCACAGGAGCGUCUUGUUUCUUUUUUUCUGCCAAACAGCAGCCGGGCAGUCAGAACCUUGAGUUUUCCCUCUCAGGAGAGUCCGAAGGCUACAUCGCUGCCACCUUGUCACCUGACGCCACAUUGGGAGAUAACGACCCAACCUACAUCUGUGCAAACAACAACAGUUUUGUUCAAUUCUUCAGCACCGUCCUGGUCAAUGGCUCGCUGACCCAGACAGAGCUGAGCGUGAACUCUGUGAAGGGAAAGGUCAACGGAAAGAAGAUCCAGUGCACGUUUACCGCCACUGUUCCAAACUCAGCAACUAGACGACCUAGAGGAGCACCAACGGAUGCAGCAAUCUUAAUCUCCACUGGAGCUUUCAACAACAAUUCUGGGACUCUGGGAUCCCCGACCGCUAAAUUUAGCAGCGACGUUGUAAACCUGUCAAAUCCCAACACCACCGUCACCAAUCAGCUUUCCACCAACACCACCAGCUCCCCCACUACGGCUCACGCCAUCACGUUCCAGCAAACCCUGAUGCAGGUUCUGCUGAUCUCUGUGGGCGCGCUCAGUCUGGCCCUGGUUUGAGGAAAACCAAACCUCCACGCUUCAAGAAAAGAAAUCCCCAACUUUCCUUUCCAUUUACUGUAUAUAUGCUACUUAAUAUUCAUCUAAAACAAGACACUGUACAUUCCAGAUGAUUAGGAUCAUGAAGAAUUGUAUAUCUACUCACUUCAAGUGAAUGUAGGCUGGAUUGUGGGAGGUCACGUCUGUUGUAGAAGCUGACCUUCACCUACAGAGGUCUCACUCCCCGACAACCUCCGGAGGCGUCACACUCACCCGUUUCUCAGGAACAAUGUUGUUCUCUACGUCUGUCACACACAAUGAAGCCAGAAGGUGGCAGAUGUGUGCUGUUAGUCUCUUUACUUGUAAAUGUCUGUACUGUACAUGAUUAAAUCAUGUUUUUAAAAUGAAGCAGAAUGAAAAUGAAUGUCUGUGUGUGUGCGUGCGCACAAAGGCACAUGCAAAUGAGCCGUUGCAGAUAAAGAACACUACAUAUGAUAAAAAAUAUUGUUAAUUAUUUUUUUAGCAUAUUGCAUUAUGUAACGAAGGAGUUUAUUUUUCAAAUAAACAUUAAAUUUUAACGGAUUGUGACUGUGCUGAUGUUUGGUCUGAAUCUGAAACUGAACAGGUUGUCCAAUCACCUGCCUGAUCUUCACACAAUAUACACACAUACAUAUACGUGUAUAUAUAUUUAGCUAAAUAGAGGCCAAUAUAUAAUCAAUAAUAAGCCAGACACAGAAGUAUCCAACAAAAUGUGUAGUAUGGUGCCAGACGAUUGGACUACUGUACAUUAUAAUAUAGAUUAAUAUUGUAAAUAAGAUCUAUUGACAGAAGUGAACAAACUUAAUAAAUGAGAUGCAAACAGUGAAAUAUCAUUUUGGAUGAAUACACAUAUGAAUAUAAGGCCUGAGUGAUAUGGCCUAUAAAGAACUUGCAAUAAACAAUAAAUACCUCCAUAUUUUGAAAAAUCUCCACUUCAAUCAUUGAUGAUUCAAGCAGUCGCUGUAACAUAAUGAAACAUGAGAACUUUAUUAAUGGUUUGCAUUGGAACAAUUUAAAACUUGCAUGAAAAUCCAAAACAGCAAAUGAGAGUUGUCAGUGCUGUAACUCUAACCCUGAUUAUUUAAACACUAUAUAAAAUAUUUUAAAAAACACAAAUAUGACAAUAUAAGAACUGCAAAAUUAUAUAUUAUGUUCAUUUUUGUGUUUGUGUGCAAUUAGUUGCCCAUUAUUGUUGACAAAUUGCAGCAUGGCACUAAUAUUAUGUACAUUUUUUAAUCUUAUUCCCUUCAUGUGUAUGGUUUUAUGGUUCUUAUAAUGUUGUAUUUGUGUGACUGAUGCUCUCUCACAGAUGAAUAAAGUUAUUUGAAUUGAACUGUUUUGCAUUAGCUUGACGAGGUUCCGCUCGUCUGACGCUGUAACUGUACCUGAGACAUUAUUGAUUAUGAAAAGUAACUGAGUACAUUUACAGAUUCUACACAAACUGAACAUUAGUAGAACUGUUGAAUUAGCUUUAGCUUUAGCUCGGUGUCUGUAGCUACUUUAGCUGGAGCUUGGUCUGGUGUUCAAAGUGCCGUGCCUAGCCUAGCCUAGCCUAGCUAACGCUAGCUCAGCUUGGAGGCUGGAGGACACGGUUGUAUUUAGCUACAUUAGCUCGCAGCUAACAGCUGAUAGCCACCGUGAGCAGGGUUUUGGUUCACGUGUCGUUGAAAAGACGUUUAGAGUAAAAGCGGCUCUAAAGUUUAGACGUCGACUUCUCAAGUGAGUCGACCAUUCGGAUCUCACCGGUCACUGUUCCGGGAUGUUUCCGGGAAACUUCCGGUUCUUUCCGGUUCCUUCCGAAACGGAUGUUGAACCGACGACGUUUUCCCCAAAACAAACAUGGUUUACCGGAAGUGACUUUUUUU